UGGCGCGGAUGAGUUGACACUG
rnacentral:miRNA from 1 species